CAGCAGCCGCGGUAAUACGUAGGGUGCAAGCGUUAAUCGGAAUUACUGGGCGUAAAGCGUGCGCAGGCGGUUAUAUAAGACAGAUGUGAAAUCCCCGGGCCCAACCUGGGAACUGCAUUUGUGACUGUAUAGCUAGAGUACGGCAGAGGGGGAUGGAAUUCCGCGUGUAGCAGUGAAAUGCGUAGAUAUGCGGAGGAACACCGAUGGCGAAGGCAAUCCCCUGGGCCUGUACUGACGCUCAUGCACGAAAGCGUGGGGAGCAAACAGGAUUAGAUACCCGAGUAGUCCCUGUCUCUUAUAC
rnacentral:rRNA from 1 species